rnacentral:rRNA from 1 species
GUUGUUGGGUAGGGGAGCGUUCUGUAAGCCGUUGAAGGUGUCCUGUGAGGGGUGCUGGAGGUAUCAGAAGUGCGAAUGCUGACAUAAGUAACGAUAAAGCGGGUGAAAAGCCCGCUCGCCGGAAGACCAAGGGUUCCUGUCCAACGUUAAUCGGGGCAGGGUGAGUCGACCCCUAAGGCGAGGCCGAAAGGCGUAGUCGAUGGGAAACAGGUUAAUAUUCCUGUACUUGGUGUUACUGCGAAGGGGGGACGGAGAAGGCUAUGUCAGCCGGGCGACGGUUGUCCCGGUUUAAGCAUGUAGGCGGAGGUUCCAGGUAAAUCCGGUACCUUAUUAACGCUGAGGUGUGAUGACGAGGCACUACGGUGCUGAAGUGAUAAAUGCCCUGCUUCCAGGAAAAGCCUCUAAGCAUCAGGUAACACGAAAUCGUACCCCAAACCGACACAGGUGGUCAGGUAGAGAAUACCAAGGCGCUUGAGAGAACUCGGGUGAAGGAACUAGGCAAAAUGGUGCCGUAACUUCGGGAGAAGGCACGCUGAUAUGUAGGUGAAGUCCCUGCGGACGGAGCUGAAAUCAGUCGAAGAUACCAGCUGGCUGCAACUGUUUAUUAAAAACACAGCACUGUGCAAACACGAAAGUGGACGUAUACGGUGUGACGCCUGCCCGGUGCCGGAAGGUUAAUUGAUGGGGUUAGCGGCAACGCGAAGCUCUUGAUCGAAGCCCCGGUAAACGGCGGCCGUAACUAUAACGGUCCUAAGGUAGCGAAAUUCCUUGUCGGGUAAGUUCCGACCUGCACGAAUGGCGUAAUGAUGGCCAGGCUGUCUCCACCCGAGACUCAGUGAAAUUGAACUCGCUGUGAAGAUGCAGUGUACCCGCGGCAAGACGGAAAGACCCCGUGAACCUUUACUAUAGCUUGACACUGAACACUGGUCCUUGAUGUGUAGGAUAGGUGGGAGGCUUUGAAGCGUGGACGCCAGUCUGCGUGGAGCCAACCUUGAAAUACCACCCUUUAAUGGCUGGUGUUCUAACGUAGACCCGUAAUCCGGGUUGCGGACAGUGUCUGGUGGGUAGUUUGACUGGGGCGGUCUCCUCCCAAAGAGUAACGGAGGAGCACGAAGGUUGGCUAAUCCUGGUCGGACAUCAGGAGGUUAGUGCAAUGGCAUAAGCCAGCUUGACUGCGAGCGUGACGGCGCGAGCAGGUGCGAAAGCAGGUCAUAGUGAUCCGGUGGUUCUGAAUGGAAGGGCCAUCGCUCAACGGAUAAAAGGUACUCCGGGGAUAACAGGCUGAUACCGCCCAAGAGUUCAUAUCGACGGCGGUGUUUGGCACCUCGAUGUCGGCUCAUCACAUCCUGGGGCUGAAGUAGGUCCCAAGGGUAUGGCUGUUCGCCAUUUAAAGUGGUACGCGAGCUGGGUUUAGAACGUCGUGAGACAGUUCGGUCCCUAUCUGCCGUGGGCGCUGGAGAAUUGAGGGGGGCUGCUCCUAGUACGAGAGGACCGGAGUGGACGCAUCACUGGUGUUCGGGUUGUCAUGCCAAUGGCACUGCCCGGUAGCUAAAUGCGGAAGAGAUAAGUGCUGAAAGCAUCUAAGCACGAAACUUGCCCCGAGAUGAGUUCUCCCUGAGACUUUAAGUCUCCUGAAGGAACGUUGAAGAC